CGGUCAUUGUUAUUGGGUUGGUCGGGAUAAACAUCAGCUCUGCUGCAAACUGUUUGAUAAGCAAAUUGUUUCGGCUUUUAUCAAUCGAAUUCUUGAGUCCUCCACUCGCGCUCUAAAUAUAAAAGAACUCCUGGGCGCAAGGAGUCUUGAUGAUGCCCAUUUAUUGACCCAGAGAUAAAGUUAUGAAAUCUGUGGUGGUUAUAUGUUUUCUUCUACUAGUAGUCGGCGUCCAGUGCAGGCCCUGGCUCUUUCCCUGGUGGAUGCUGCCGUAUUACUCGGGUAUCGAGGACGAGUAUGCUGCGUCAUUAGGGGGAGCUCCGGUUGGCCUCUACAGCAGACGGAAAGGAGGAGGGUUCUUUGGCGAGAGAUCUGAAAUAUCCGGUGUUUCUCUGGGUGGUGCAAAAGUUGGACUCUAUGGAAGAGAGCGACCCUCUUUUCUUAGGAGAUGGCCUCUCCUGGGAUGAUAAAAAAAUGGAAAACUGAAGUUCAUCGUGUAAGAAGCUCAUCGGAGAAGAUGACAGAGCUGAAGAAAACAGCGAAUUUGUAAAUUGAAACAUUUCAUCGAGUUUGUAAUAAAUUUUGAAAUGAAA